GGGACACGUGGUAUCCUGUCUGAAUAUGGGGGGACCAUCCUCCAAGGCUAAAUACUCCUGACUGACCGAUAGUGAACCAGUACCGUGAGGGAAAGGCGAAAAGAACCCCGGCGAGGGGAGUGAAAAAGAACCUGAAACCGUGUACGUACAAGCAGUGGGAGCCUCUUUAUGGGGUGACUGCGUACCUUUUGUAUAAUGGGUCAGCGACUUAUAUUCUGUAGCAAGGUUAACCGAAUAGGGGAGCCGAAGGGAAACCGAGUCUUAACUGGGCGUUAAGUUGCAGGGUAUAGACCCGAAACCCGGUGAUCUAGCCAUGGGCAGGUUGAAGGUUGGGUAACACUAACUGGAGGACCGAACCGACUAAUGUUGAAAAAUUAGCGGAUGACUUGUGGCUGGGGGUGAAAGGCCAAUCAAACCGGGAGAUAGCUGGUUCUCCCCGAAAGCUAUUUAGGUAGCGCCUCGUGAACUCAUCUCCGGGGGUAGAGCACUGUUUCGGCAAGGGGGUCAUCCCGACUUACCAACCCGAUGCAAACUGCGAAUACCGGAGAAUGUUAUCACGGGAGACACACGGCGGGUGCUAACGUCCGUCGUGAAGAGGGAAACAACCCAGACCGCCAGCUAAGGUCCCAAAGUCAUGGUUAAGUGGGAAACGAUGUGGGAAGGCCCAGACAGCCAGGAUGUUGGCUUAGAAGCAGCCAUCAUUUAAAGAAAGCGUAAUAGCUCACUGGUCGAGUCGGCCUGCGCGGAAGAUGUAACGGGGCUAAACCAUGCACCGAAGCUGCGGCAGCGACGCUUAUGCGUUGUUGGGUAGGGGAGCGUUCUGUAAGCCUGUGAAGGUGUGCUGUGAGGCAUGCUGGAGGUAUCAGAAGUGCGAAUGCUGACAUAAGUAACGAUAAAGCGGGUGAAAAGCCCGCUCGCCGGAAGACCAAGGGUUCCUGUCCAACGUUAAUCGGGGCAGGGUGAGUCGACCCCUAAGGCGAGGCCGAAAGGCGUAGUCGAUGGGAAACAGGUUAAUAUUCCUGUACUUGGUGUUACUGCGAAGGGGGGACGGAGAAGGCUAUGUUGGCCGGGCGACGGUUGUCCCGGUUUAAGCGUGUAGGCUGGUUUUCCAGGCAAAUCCGGAAAAUCAAGGCUGAGGCGUGAUGACGAGGCACUACGGUGCUGAAGCAACAAAUGCCCUGCUUCCAGGAAAAGCCUCUAAGCAUCAGGUAACAUCAAAUCGUACCCCAAACCGACACAGGUGGUCAGGUAGAGAAUACCAAGGCGCUUGAGAGAACUCGGGUGAAGGAACUAGGCAAAAUGGUGCCGUAACUUCGGGAGAAGG
rnacentral:rRNA from 1 species